rnacentral:pre_miRNA from 13 species
CAUCCUGAUCAAUGGCCAUUGUAAGAGUAGAAGGAUCCAUGAAGCAAAACAUUGACUCCUGAUAUUCCACUCUUACAGAGUCCAUUGAUUAAGAUG